rnacentral:rRNA from 1 species
GUGCUUAACACAUGCAAGUCGAACGGAAAGGCCCCUUUCGGGGGGUACUCGAGUGGCGAACGGGUGAGUAACACGUGGGUGAUCUGCCCUGCACUUCGGGAUAAGCUUGGGAAACUGGGUCUAAUACCGGAUAGGACCACAUGUCGCAUGGUGUGUGGUGGAAAGCUUUUGCGGUGUGGGAUGGGCCCGCGGCCUAUCAGCUUGUUGGUGGGGUGAUGGCCUACCAAGGCGACGACGGGUAGCCGGCCUGAGAGGGUGUCCGGCCACACUGGGACUGAGAUACGGCCCAGACUCCUACGGGAGGCAGCAGUGGGGAAUAUUGCACAAUGGGCGCAAGCCUGAUGCAGCGACGCCGCGUGGGGGAUGACGGCCUUCGGGUUGUAAACCUCUUUCACCAUCGACGAAGCUGCGGGUUUUCUCGUGGUGACGGUAGGUGGAGAAGAAGCACCGGCCAACUACGUGCCAGCAGCCGCGGUAAUACGUAGGGUGCGAGCGUUGUCCGGAAUUACUGGGCGUAAAGAGCUCGUAGGUGGUUUGUCGCGUUGUUCGUGAAAUC